rnacentral:rRNA from 1 species
UACGUAGGGUGCGAGCGUUAAUCGGAAUUACUGGGCGUAAAGCGUGCGCAGGCGGUUUUUUAAGACAGGCGUGAAAUCCCCGGGCUUAACCUGGGAACUGCGCUUGUGACUGGAAGGCUAGAGUACGGCAGAGGGGGGUGGAAUUCCACGUGUAGCAGUGAAAUGCGUAGAGAUGUGGAGGAACACCGAUGGCGAAGGCAGCCCCCCUGGGUCAAAACUGACGCUCAUGCACGAAAGCGUGGGGAGCAAACAGG